CAUGGAACCACGUUGCUGACCAUGGAACCACGUUGCUGACCAUGGAACCACGUGGCAGUACUUGAAGGAGCUGAAUCAGUAAUUGAAAUUUUUGAAGCAGUAAAGCACAAAUGUUCUUUUUUGUGGACAAACCAGCACAAACCGAGCACAAAUGAGCAGAAGUCAUUUUAUUAUUUUCUCAUCACAUGGGUGUCAACUUCAUGUACGUAUUUGAAUCUGUCUGGAAUGAGAAUGAGUUUGUGUUUAUGAUUUCUCCACCGUAGAUCAAAAUGAGACGCAAAAGUUGAAACUAUCUGAGAACUAUUUUAGAGCUUAAUGAGAUCUCAUGGUUGUAAGAAAUAAAUGAAACAGUUUUGAGAUCUGUUUUUCUCUGCCUGGGUAGUAUUCUGGUACAAUAGCAGAGGUCAUUGCUGUCCUUGGUACUGUAGAGUAUCAUCCACAUUUGCCAUUUAUUGUAAUUCUCACAAUCAAAAUCCAUUCAUCCAUCUUCUAAACUCUUGUCCUGCGCAGAGUCACAGUGGAGCCUGGAGCCUAAUCAGAAAAAUCAUGGGACUGCAGACUCGCACAGUUGGCACAAUGGACACAUAAUGAAUGUGACUUAUCAGUUCUGUCCAUUCAUGUACAGACAAUUCAAUGUGCAUUGCUAUUAAGAUUUUUUUUAAAUUUGGACAGAGAGACAAACUCCUGUCAUUCAGCAGUGUCUGAGGCUUGUUAAAUUUGGGCAGAGAGACAUACUCCUGUCAUUCAGCAGUGUCUGAGGCUUGCACUUUUGUAAUAAUAUUUCUGGAAUGAAGUUCAGUUAACUGUUGGAGCCUCCUGGAGAAAGAGACAAAUGGAUUUUAUGUAUGUUUUGCUUACAAGUGUUUACAUUGUGCUUUAACAGUGUUUAAGCAUUGCUGGCAGUGUCUGUUUACAGUGUACUGCAGUUUUUAAUAUUUUACAGAACUAGUUCCCUCUGUUACUUCUGUCAAAUUAUUGGUUCCAGCCAGUAUUACAGUAGUAUAUAAGGAUGCCAAUGUGUGGUUCCCGAACUCUGUCGUCUCGUAAUUCUGUUUCUUUUGCUGCAAUGUGUAGUGCAGGGCCUGCAUGCUCACACAUGAUAUAUAUUGUAGAUAUAUACUACCUGCAUGUUCCCAUAAUCUGUGGUAUUGAAUUACGGCUUCAAUGUACAAUUUGUUACAGUAUGUUGUUUUGUCCUGUGUAAUUAUGUAGAGAGUUGAUACUGUACUGUAAGAUUUAAUUUGUGGUAAAUAAAGUAAGCAAAUUGAGGUCAGAA